UUCUUCAGGGCGGGGUGCGAUUCCCCACUGGCGGUACAGUCCGCGAGCGAAUAGCUGAUUCGGUGAAACUCCGAAACCAACGGUUACAGUCCGGAUGAAAGAAGA
rnacentral:ncRNA from 1 species